rnacentral:rRNA from 1 species
GACGAACGCUGGCGGCGUGCUUAACACAUGCAAGUCGAACGGAAAGGCCCUGCUUUUGUGGGGUGCUCGAGUGGCGAACGGGUGAGUAACACGUGAGUAACCUGCCCUUGACUUUGGGAUAACUUCAGGAAACUGGGGCUCAUACCGGAUAGGAGCUCCUGCUGCAUGGUGGGGGUUGGAAAGUUUCGGCGGUUGGGGAUGGACUCGCGGCUUAUCCGCUUGUUGGUGGGGUAGUGGCUUACCAAGGCUUUGACGGGUAGCCGGCCUGAGAGGGUGACCGGCCACAUUGGGACUGAGAGACGGACCAGUCUCCUACGGGAGGCAGCAGUGGGGAAUAUUGCACAAUGGGCGGAAGCCUGAUGCAGCAACGCCGCGUGCGGGAUGACGGCCUUCGGGUUGUAAACCGCUUUCGCCUGUGACGAAGCGUGAGUGACGGUAAUGGGUAAAGAAGCACCGGCUAACUACGUG